GAUGAACGCUGGCGGCGUGCCUAAUACAUGCAAGUCGAGCGAACGGACGAGAAGCUUGCUUCUCUGAUGUUAGCGGCGGACGGGUGAGUAACACGUGGAUCACCUACCUAUAAGACUGGGAUAACUUCGGGAAACCGGAGCUAAUACCAGAUAAUAUUUUGAACCGCAUGGUUCAAAAGUGAAAGACGGUCUUGCUGUCUCUUUUAGAUGGACCCGCGCUGCAUUAGCUAGUUGGUAAGGUAACGCCUUACCAAGGCAACGAUGCAUAGCCGACCGGAGAGGUGGAUCGGCAACACUGGAACUGAGACACGGUCCAGACCCCUACGGGAGGCAGCAGGAGGGAAUCUGCCGCAAGGGGCGAAAGCCUGACCGAGCAACGCCGCGUGAGUGAGGAAGGUCUUCGGUUCGUAAAACUCUGUUAUUAGGGAAGAACAUAUGUGUAAGUAACUGUGCACAUCUUGACGGUACCAAAUCAGAAAGCCCCGGCUAACUACGG
rnacentral:rRNA from 1 species